GACGAACGCUGGCGGCGUGCCUAAUACAUGCAAGUCGAACGCUGAAGGAGGAGCUUUCUUCUCUGGAUGAGUUGCGAACGGGUGAGUAACUCGUAGGUAACCUGCCUGUUAUCUUGGUAUAACUAUUUGAAACUAUAGCUAAUACCGCAUAAUAGUAUAUGUUGCAUGACAUUUUCUUAAAAGUUUCAAUUUCUUCACUACCAGAUGGUCCUGCGUUGUAUUAGCUAGUUGGUGUUGUAACGGCUCACCAAGGCGAGGAUACAUAGCCGACCGGUGAGGGUGAUCGGCCAAACUGGGACUGAGACACGGCACAGACGGCUACGGGAGGCAGCAGUAGGGAAUCUUCGGAAAUGGACGGAAGUCUGACCGAGCAACGCCGCGUGAGUGAAGAAGGUUUUCGGAUCGUAAAGCUCUGUUGUAAGAGAAGAAAGAGUGUGAGAGUGGAAAGUUCACAAUGUGACGGUAGCUUACCAGAAAGGGACGGCUAACUACGUG
rnacentral:rRNA from 1 species